UACGUAGGGUGCAAGCGUUGCCCGGAUUUAUUGGGCGUAAAGGGCGCGUAGGCGGCUCUGCACGUUCGUUGUGAAAUCGCCCGGCUCAACUGGGCGGGGUCAGCGGAUACGGCAGAGCUUGAGCAAGCUAGGGGGCAAUGGAAUUCCCGGUGUAGUGGUGGAAUGCGUAGAUAUCGGGAAGAACACCCGUGGCGAAGGCGGCUCACUGGACCAUUACUGACGCUGAUGCACGAAAGCUAGGGGAGCAAACAGG
rnacentral:rRNA from 1 species